CGCCUGAAGCGGGGGACAACAGCUUGAAAGAGCUGCUAAUACCGCAUGUGUCUGCUGAGUGGCAUCACUUGGCAAACAAAGCCUUCGGGCACUUCAGGAUGGGCCUGCGGCCUAUCAGCUAGUUGGUGUGGUAACGGCUCACCAAGGCUUCGACGGGUAGCUGGUCCGAGAGGACGAUCAGCCGGAUUGGGACUGAGAUACGGCCCAG
rnacentral:rRNA from 1 species